rnacentral:rRNA from 1 species
AGUCAAGUGAAUAAGUGCAUCAGGCGGAUGCCUUGGCGAUGAUAGGCGACGAAGGACGUGUAAGCCUGCGAAAAGCGCGGGGGAGCUGGCAAUAAAGCUAUGAUUCCGCGAUGUCCGAAUGGGGAAACCCACUGCAUUCUGUGCAGUAUCCUAAGUUGAAUACAUAGGCUUAGAGAAGCGAACCCGGAGAACUGAACCAUCUAAGUACCCGGAGGAAAAGAAAUCAACCGAGAUUCCGCAAGUAGUGGCGAGCGAACGCGGAGGAG